GAUGAACGCUGGCGGCGUGCCUAAUACAUGCAAGUCGAGCGAACGGACGAGAAGCUUGCUUCUCUGAUGUUAGCGGCGGACGGGUGAGUAACACGUGGAUAACCUACCUAUAAGACUGGGAUAACUUCGGGAAACCGGAGCUAAUACCGGAUGAUAUUUUGAACCGCAUGGUCCAAAAGUGAAAGACGGUCUUGCUGUCACUUAUAGAUGGAUCCGCGCCGCAUUAGCUAGUUGGUAAGGUAACGGCUUACCAAGGCAACGAUGCAUAGCCGACCUGAGAGGGUGAUCGGCCACACUGGAACUGAGACACGGUCCAGACUCCUACGGGAGGCAGCAGUAGGGAAUCUUCCGCAAUGGGCGAAAGCCUGACGGAGCAACGCCGCGUGAGUGAUGAAGGUCUUCGGAUCGUAAAACUCUGUUAUUAGGGAAGAACAUAUGUGUAAGUAACUGUGCACAUCUUGACGGUACCUAAUCAGAAAGCCACGGCUAACUACGUG
rnacentral:rRNA from 1 species